rnacentral:lncRNA from 1 species
GUUUCGAGAGGACCGAGCAGGGCGCACGGGGUGGCGGCGGCGCAGGUCUCCCGGCCAAGUCCCCACUUCUGGCUGCUCAUGCCACUGGGACUGGGGCGAAGGAAAAAAGCACCACCUCUGGUGGAAAAUGAGGAGGCGGAGCCAAGCCGGAGUGGGCUGGGCGUCGGGGAGCCCGGGCCCCUGGGUGGAAGUGGAGCAGGGGAAUCCCAGAUGGGUUUGCCCCCACCUCCUGCUUCCCUCCGGCCUCGCCUCGUGUUCCAUACCCAGCUGGCCCACGGCAGCCCCACGGGCCGCAUCGAGGGCUUCACUAAUGUCAAGGAGCUGUACGGCAAGAUCGCUGAGGCCUUCCGACUACCGGCUGCUGAGGUACCAGUGGGACCACGGUCCCUUAAGAGCAAGCCACAGGCCUGGGCAUGUAUUCCUGUGAGCUGGGGCUCGUGUUCCUUGCUGGCCAGCAGCCCCUGAACCUAGGAGGCGUGGCUACAGGAGGAUACUGAGUUCCUAUGAGGCCUUGAGAGACUUGUACCCUAGUAGGUAUGGGGGGGGUUUCCCAACGGGCCUUACGAGGCUCGUAAUCUAGUAAAUUGUGGGUCUGCAGAUACUGAUUUCCCAUCAGGUCUGAAGUAGCCUGUGUCCUGGAGGAUGACAGCCACAGGUGGCAGCUGGGUUUCCAAGGCAUU